GACGAACGCUGGCGGCGUGCUUCAUACAUGCAAGUCGAGCGGAAAGGCCCUUCGGGUACUCGAGCGGCGAACGGGUGAGUAACACGUGAGCAAUCUGCCUUCAGCUCCGGGAUAACGCGCUGUGGAAACACAGCUACUGGAAACAGGUGCUAAUACCGGAUAUGACCUCGAAGGACAUCCUUCAAGGUGGAAAGUUUUUCGGUCUGAAGAUGAGCUCGCGGCCUAUCAGCUUGUUGGCGGGGUAACGGCCCACCAAGGCGACGACGGUAGCCGCCUGAGAGGGCGACCGGCCACACUGGGACUGAGACACGGCCCAGACUCCUACGGGAGGCAGCAGUAGGGAAUAUUGCGCAAUGGGCGAAAGCCUGACGCAGCAACGCCGCGUGGGGGA
rnacentral:rRNA from 1 species